rnacentral:rRNA from 1 species
AACGAACGCUGGCGGCGUGCCUAACACAUGCAAGUCGAACGCGAAAGCCCUUUCGGGGGUGAGUAAAGUGGCGCACGGGUGAGUAACACGUGGAUAAUCUGCCUGAUAAUCUGGGAUAACAUCUCGAAAGAGAUGCUAAUACCGGAUAAGCCCACAGUCUCCUCGGAGACAGCGGGAAAAGAUGGCCUCUUCUUGAAAGCUAUUGUUAUCAGAUGAGUCCGCGGUCCAUUAGCUAGUUGGUGGGGUAAAAGCCUACCAAGGCGACGAUGGAUAGCUGGUUUGAGAGAAUGAUCAGCCACACUGGAACUGAGACACGGUCCAGACUCCUACGGGAGGCAGCAGUGGGGAAUUUUGCGCAAUGGGCGAAAGCCUGACGCAGCAACGCCGCGUGAGUGAUGAAGGUUUUCGGAUCGUAAAGCUCUGUCAAGAGGGAAGAAACCUCCAACGGCUAAUACCUGUUGGACUUGACGGUACCUCUAGAGGAAGC